AAGUCGCCAUUUUAAAUUUUUGUUUUAUAAAAGAUAAUAAUGAAUUGCAAGAAAAAUAGAGGUUCAAAAUGCAUCACUCAGCUAUUAUUCUAUUUGACCAACUCUAUGUAUUAUCAAGGGUAAACCUCAAUAACAGACCUUAAUCCCAAGAUAGGGCUAAUUUUGUAGUCACUAAAUCCAGCAUUAGAGAAGAGUUUAGCCCAUUCUUGUUCAUUUCUUUCUUUUCCAGAAACAUGAACCAUCAUCAGUACGUCUGAAAACAACUGAGUUUCAAAUGAUUUGUUAUCUCUUUUCUGAUUAUCAAUCACAAUGUCAAUCACAAUCACCUUUCCUCCAUUCUCCUUACUCGGAAUUGCUUCUUUGCAUUUCUUCAGUAUCUUAACACAAUCCUUAUCGCUCCAAUCAUGUAAUAUCCACUUUAGUAAAAUUGCAUCGGCCGAAGGAACAAACUUAAACAUGUCUCCAGCGAUAUAGGUCAAGUUUUUGCCACCUUCCAAGCCUUCAACCACAUGGGGCAGAUCGAAAACAGAGCAUUUCAAUUCUGGAAAAGCAUUAGAAAUGGCUUUUGCCACAGUUCCAAUGCCGCCUCCAACGUCCACCAACGAUUUCAAUCCUUCAAAAACUCCCUUACCAUUUUUAAUCAACACGCUCAUGAUCAAUCGGGCGUCACAUCCCAUAGCUUCGUUAAAUAAAUUGUUAAGCCUCUGCUCAUCCCCUGCAUAUUCAAACAAUGGCUUACCAUGAGCAGUCGCGAAUGGGGUAGAGUCCUCGUUCACGAACCAUUCACCGAGUGAGUGCCAUGGAUCCAUUAAAACUGGAUCCAAUUGUGCUUGAACGAACGGGGCUAGACUCAACGGCUCGUUUUUAAGGAGGAGACGCGAAGUCGGAGUAAGUAAAUACCCUUCUUCUCCUUGAGUAAAGAAGCCAGCAUGGAUUAGAAUACGCAUGAGACGAUAAAUACAAUCGUGACCUUUUGAUUUGUUGAUAGGGAGAGCAUUCACUAAAUCGGAUUGGGUCAUGGCUCGGGCAUGAUUAUGAAUGAUAUCUGGAAUUCCGAGCUGAAUUGCACAUUUGAGUGACAUAGAAUUGAUGUAAUUAAACACAUGGUUCGCUAUGUGUGCUUGAGCAGCAAGGACUUUAUUAGUUUCGUCUCCAAUAUUAUUAGGCAAUGCCAUUUUUU
rnacentral:misc_RNA from 1 species